AUACGGAGGGAGCGAGCGUUAAUCGGAAUUACUGGGCGUAAAGCGCGCGUAGGCGGCUUUGUAAGUCGGAUGUGAAAGCCCUGGGCUCGACCUGGGAAUGGCAUUCGAUACUGCAGAGCUAGAGUAUGGUAGAGGGAAGUGGAAUUUCCGGUGUAGCGGUGAAAUGCGUAGAUAUCGGAAAGAACACCAGUGGCGAAGGCGGCUUCCUGGAUCAAUUCUGACACUGAGGUGCGAAAGCGUGGGGAGCAAACAGGAUUAGAAACCCCAGUAGUCC
rnacentral:rRNA from 1 species